rnacentral:rRNA from 1 species
UGAGUUUGAUCCUGGCUCAGGACGAACGCUGGCGGCGUGCUUAACACAUGCAAGUCGAACGAGGCAGCGGCCUUCGGGCCGUUGUCGAGUGGCGAACGGGUGAGUAACACUGUGAGAAACAUGCCCCGGAGACCGGGACAACCAGGGGAAACUCUGGCUAAUACCGGAUGCCCUCGGAUGGUCGCAUGGCCGACCGAGGAAAUGCUCUGGUGCUCCGGGAGGGUCUCGCGGCCUAUCAGCUAGUUGGUGAGGUAACGGCUCACCAAGGCAUCGACGGGUAGCUGGUCUGAGAGGACGAUCAGCCACACUGGGACUGAGACACGGCCCAGACUCCUGCGGGAGGCAGCAGUGGGGAAUCUUGCGCAAUGGG